rnacentral:lncRNA from 1 species
AUGAUCCACCUUUUCUUUCACUCGCCUCUCCUCCAGCAAAUCUAUAAUGCAUUUAAUCUUCAGCAGUCACUCUCCUCAGUUUUUAAAUGUCUAAUUUGCUGCCGAGUGCAGCUCCAAUUCUCUCUGUGCCGCCGUUUUAACUCUCUGCCUUGUGUUUGCCCAAUUGCUUGUCUGCUUGGAUGGAGAGACCCGACUGCACCUGAUCCUUCGGAGAGAGGGAGGGGGAGAGAAGCUUACCGGAGGGCAGAGACUUCGCAGCGUCGUUGUCCAGGCAAACACCUUGGUGCUUUGGGAGACUACCUGCUUUGCUCACACCACAGCCAGCAGGCUGCUGUCAAGCAAGGCUUUCCCCUGUGCCAAGAGCAGGCUCCCCAGCCCUCGGCUGGCUGGAGCAGGCGUGCGGUGCCUGGGCCAUGCUGCCAGCACUGGCACGAAGCCUCCUUCAGCCCACAGCAAGGCAGGAGGUGGGGAUGGUUUCACCAAACCUCGUGGGUUUGUUCCCAAGCGCCCAGACUCGCUCUGACCCUUCCAAGGCUGCUCAGGCAGAACCUGUCCCCAGGAGCCCCCACCCCAGCCCUGGCAGCCCCUGACUGCUCUUCCUCUGUGCCCCACCAUCAUCCCCACUCAACCCGAGCAACCCAGUGUCACUGCUGUAACUGGCAGCCCCCAGCAUACUGGGGAUGCUGGGCACUGCCCUCCCACCCCACCUGUGCUCCCAGCUGCGGCCACUUCUCUGCCCCAUCUGAGAGCACUCAGCACCAGCCUGCGUGCCUGCUGCCAGCUGUGGGUGUUAAUGCCCUCUGCAGGGGCUGGUGGUGUGGCUGUUUGGGACUGCUCUGCAGGUUGUGUGUGUGCCUGGAGCCUGGGGAUUCUUUUGGGUGACAGAAGCAUCCUGGAGAAGAGCAAAAUACUGAAUGUGUCUGUAAUGAGACUUGUCUGUCACUGGCGGCAGCCCUCAAAGGUGCAAGAGCGAAGAAACAGGAAUAUUUGGAGCACAAGCCAGCCAAAGUCCUGCUUUUCCUGCAGCUACUGCGGGCUGGAAGGAAGCCUG